CGAAAACAACUUUUGCAAUUAUAUAUGUUUUUUCAAGUAGGACGGGGCACGAGAAACCCUGUUUGAAUCCGGCAGGACCACCUGCCAAGGUUAAAUAUGAUACACAAUCGAUAGCGAACAAGUACAGUGAUGGAAAGGUGAAAAGAACCCUGGGAAGGGAGUGAAAUAGACCCUGAAACUUAAUGCGUACAACGUGUGGGAGCCCUUAGGGGUGACCGCGUGCUUUUUGUAGAACGAUCCAGCGAGUUAAUUUUGUCGGCAAGGCUAAGUCAGUUGACGGAGCCGCAGUGAAAGCGAGCCUGAAUAGGGCGACAAGUCGGCAGGAUUAGACCCGAAACCGGGUGACCUAACCAUGAGCAGGCUGAAGCUACCGUAACAGGUAGUGGAGGGCCGAACGGUAGUACGCAGUAAAGUGCCCCGAUGACUUGUGGUUAGAGGUGAAAUGCCAAUCGAACUCGGAGAUAGCUGGUUCUCCUCGAAAUAGCUUUAGGGCUAGCGUCGUGUAGUAGCAUGUGGAGGUAGAGCUCUAUAAGGAACUGAGGGGAGCAAUCCUACUCACUCCUAAUAAACUACGAAUACCAUUUGUGUAAUCACGGCAGUCAGAACGGCGGGGCUAAGCUCGUCGCUCAAAAAGGAAACAGCCUAGACCAUCGUCUAAGGUCCCUAAAUUAAUACUAAGUGGGAAACAAAGUGAAAUUUCUUAAACAGUUAGGAUGUUGGCUUAGAAGCAGCCAUUCAUUUAAAGAGUGCGUAACAGCUCACUAAUCAAGAGAUUUUGCGUGGAAAAUGUAACGGGGCUAAGUAUUAUACCGAAGACAUGGGUGUCAUAUUUAUUUAUGGCGCGGUAGAGGAGCGUUGAUAUUGCGGUGAAGUCAGACUGGAAAGUCUGGUGGAGCGGUAUCAAGUGAGAAUGCUGGAAUCAGUAACCAUAAGAGGGGCGAGAAUCCCCUCGGGCGUAAGAGCAAGGUUUCCAAGGGCCACCGUAAUGGUCCCUGGGUUAGUCGGGCCUAAGGCGAGGCGUAGCAGCGUAGCCGAUGGACAUCAGGUCAACAUUCCUGAACCGACACAGUUUGUUAAUUUUGCGCAAAGAAGAAGUUUUAGCGGAUUAUUGGUAUAUAUCCGUUCAACCAAGUGAAGGCUUGGGAGUAAAAGUUGCAGAAAUGUAGCGAUUAAAGCGAAUACUUUGCCGAGAAAAGAAAAUUAACGCGUGGCUGUGCCGACCGUACCGCAAACCAACACAGGUGCUCGGGUCGAGUAGACCAAGCCCUACGAGAGAACUUUCGCUAAGGAACUCGGCAAAUCAGCGACCGUAACUUCGGAAUAAGGUCUGCCCCAUCACUUAGGUGAUGAUUGUCAAGUAAUCUAGCGGGUUAUGUAGAUUACGAUUUUGUGCCAAUGGUGGCACAAAGUAUCUUUUUAUUUACGAUAAUUCAACGAGAACAAUUUAUAGAUUACUUGGCUCGUCUUCGUCAUUUAAGUGAUGGGGCCGCAGCUAAAGAAUCCCACGGAACUGUUUAGCAAAAACACAGGUCUCUGCUAACGCGAAAGCGGAUGUAUAGGGGCUGACUCCUGCCCGGUGCUGGAAGGUUAAGGGGAGAACUUCACGGUUCGAACUGAAGCCCCAGUGAACGGCGGCGAUAACUAUGAUCGUCCUAAGGUAGCGAAAUUCCUUGUCUGGUAAAUUCAGACCUGCACGAAUGGAGUAAUCAUGUGGGAACUGUCUCGGCGAAGGCCUCGGUGAACGUGCAUUGGCGGUAAAGAUGCCGUCUGAUCAUGCCAGGACGAGAAGACCCCAUGGAGCUUUACUACAACUUUGCAUUGUUGUUAGGGACAUUUUGUGUAGCAUAGGUGGAAGCCUUUGAAACCGAUACGCUAGUAUUGGUGGAGGCGAAAGAUGAAAUACCACCCUGAAUGUUUUUGACAACUCAACUCUUUGACUUAAUCAGCCAAGAGGACCGUGCAUGGCGGGUAGUUUAACUGGGGCGGUUGCCUCCUAAAAAGUAGCGGAGGCGUUCAAGGUUUACCUAACUACGGAUGGAAAUCGUAGUGAUAGUGUAUGCGCAUAAGGUAGAUUGACUGUGAGGGUUACAACCCAAUCAGACACGAAAGUGGGAGCAAGUGACCCGCUGUAUUAGAACUUCGGUUCUUAUUUACGUGGGAAAGACAGCGCACACGGAUAAAAGUUACCCUGGGGAUAACAGGCUGAUCGCGCCCAAUAGUUCACAUAGACGGCGCGGUUUGGCACCUCGAUGUCGGCUCAUCACAUCCUGGAGGGGGAGCACCUUCCAAGGGUCCGGCUGUUCGCCGGUUAAAGUGGUACGCGAGCUGGGUUCAGAACGUCGUGAGACAGUUCGGUUUAUAUCCGGCAUGAUCGUUAGGAAAUUUGAGAAAAUCUGUCAUUAGUACGAGAGGACCGUGAUGGACAAACCUCUGGUGUAUCGGCUGUCGCCACCUGCGGCAGUGCCGAGUAGCUAUGUUUGGUUGUGAUAAGCGCUGAAAGCAUAUUAAGCGCGAAGCCAUAUUCAAGAUUAGAUUUCCCUAGGAGAGCCCAGAAAGAAGAUCUGGUUGAUAGGUGCAAGGUGUAAGCAUAGCAAUAUGUUCAGCCGAAGCAUACUAAUAUAACUCCAUUGUCUUUUCAUU
rnacentral:rRNA from 1 species